GGAUGCCCAGCGGGACGGACGUGCCCGGAGCCUCGGGCGGCUCUGCCAGGCCAGGUGUCCAGACAGGGGCCGAGGAAGGGGCUCUGUGGGAAUGAGAGGACACCCUGAUGCUGGCAGAGGAAGACCCGAAGCCCAGGAAUGCUGUGGUGGUCUGAGCCCCGUCCUCCGAGUACCUGCAGGUCACGUGCGCACUGCUGGAAUAUCGAGGGCCUGGCCUGGGGCGCCUACACAGGGACAGGGCAGCCCCUGGGACAUGCCUGCACCUGAUGCGGAAGCCGGAUGGUGGCACACCACACUGGCGGGCUCGCAAGCACGUGAGUGAGCGUGGUGCGUGGUGGGUUCCCUGGUUGCUUUCCUCUGGGGUAGUGGUGAUGCGUCCACGUGGCCUGUCCGCGGGCAGGAGACCCUCCCCUCCACGGGAGAGGGAUCAGAAAGGUGCGGCCGGUGAGCUCUGAGUGCACCUCCCAGCCAGCGUCUCCCCUCGUUGGUCUCUGGAUGUCAAGAGAGCUGGUCUGAGCCCAGCACAUCCCAGCUCAGGUUCUGGAGAUGGGGAUUCCAGGAGGAUGUGACCCCAGGAGUGCUGGCGAGCAAGUGGCUGAGAGCCAUGGGCAGCGGGCUCCGUCUGUGCAGGACGGGGCACCACCCGGGGCCACUUGCCGCGGGAGAUGCUGUGAAGACACGGGGGAGGACAGCUGUGUCGGGACGGGGCAGAGACCAGGGCCAUGUGGCCACCAGGGGCUGCCAGGGCCAGACGAGCCGGGAGGACCCUCCGCUGGAGCCUCAGGAGGAACUCGACCCUGUUGACACAUCGAUUUCCAAGUUGGCAUCCAGAGUGCAAUAGAUUACGUUGCCAUUGUUUUAAGCCUGUCUGUGAUCCUGGGUUCCUGGCCCGCGUCUGCCCGGGUUUCCUGCAGCCGCCUGGCCUUGGGACGUCUGUGGUGCUCCUGGCUGGUGGCCGCAUCCCUUUGGUCUGUCUCUCUGUCUGUUACCAGCUCCCUACCCACACCACAUGGCAGGGGAGGCUCCUGGGGGGUUGAUUCUGUCCUGACUCCCAUGACCCUGGGGCUGGGGAGGGGUGAGCAGGCAUGUGGCCCCUGCAGGCUCUGCGGGAGCCUGAGAAGCCAUCUCCGUGCUUGACCAGCUGGGCAUCCGUGAGGCCAGGGGCUCAGCUCCCUCCCCCUUGGGCCGUGACCUCACUCGCCCCCCAACCCAGGUCAGGAAACCUGGGGGCUUAUCUGGCCCCUGCCCCCAUCCUGACCUCAGAGGGAACCCCAGCCUCUGGGCCUCAGGGAUGACUUGCUUCUCUGCCUAAAGAUGCUUGGGGUCGGCGCUGAAAGACGCCAGUGAACCUGAUCUGCCUGCCCAACACCUGUUCGGAUGUGACUGCACUCGAGGGGGACGUUGUCAGUGCUGUUUGCCUUGCUAGACCUGUGGCCGCCUGGGAUCUGCUUGUCUUCAAGAUGAUCCACUUGAGUUCAAGCCUGCUAGAAAGAAGGCUUCCAGAGGUGGUUUGUGAUGCUGGUAGAGUUCUCUUUCUGGUCCACACACACUGGAAGAAGCACAGACCUGCUGUCCAGUUGGGUUCUCACUGAGGGCCCUGAGUGCUCAGCGUGGGGCCCGUUUGGGGUGAGGGUAGCUCGCUGACACCCAGGAGCCCCCACAGGCAGGCGGGGCCGGGUUUGGGGAGGCCCAGUGCAGCUCCGCCCAAGCCCGGUGGGGGCCACCCUGGGAGGGAUGAGGGCUGGUUAAAUCGAGUGGAAAAUCAGUCUUCAGGGCUCCCCGGUGGCCACCAUGUCCCCGGGAAGGCACAGAUUACCCGCACGGCCUGGCAGCCUUUGUCUGUGUUUCCCAAGGUGAUUUGAUAGCUGGACAGCUGCUCCGGAAUCCACACUCUGGGAAGGCAGCCUUCCCAGAUCUCCGCAGGGGCCACCCGGGGUCUUGGGACGCAGGCGCGUCCCCCCGAUGCUGCCCGAUCCUGGGACAGACCAAGCUGGCUCCCACCUCCCUGGCUUUG